rfam:Camelus ferus unplaced genomic scaffold scaffold699, whole genome shotgun sequence.
GAGGGUAUAGCUCAGUGGUAGAACACAUUCUUAGCAUGCACGAGGUCCUGGGUUCAAUCCCCAGUACUUCCA